UACGGAGGGUGCAAGCGUUAUCCGGAUUCACUGGGUUUAAAGGGUGCGUAGGAGGGCAGGUAAGUCAGUGGUGAAAUCUCCGGGCUUAACUCGGAAACUGCCGUUGAUACUAUCUGUCUUGAAUACCGUGGAGAUGAGCGGAAUAUGUCAUGUAGCGGUGAAAUGCUUAGAUAUGACAUAGAACACCAAUUGCGAAGGCAGCUGGCUACACGAAUAUUGACACUGAUGCACGAAAGCGUGGGGAGCAAACAGG
rnacentral:rRNA from 1 species